UACGUAGGGGGCAAGCGUUGUCCGGAAUUAUUGGGCGUAAAGAGCGUGUAGGCGGUCCGGUAAGUCAGCUGUGAAAGUCAAGGGCUCAACCCUUGAAUGCCGGUUGAUACUGUCGGGCUAGAGUCCGGAAGAGGCGAGUGGAAUUCCCGGUGUAGCGGUGAAAUGCGCAGAUAUCGGGAGGAACACCUAUAGCGAAGGCAGCUUGCUGGGACGAAACUGACGCUAAGGCGCGAAAGCGUGGGGAGCGAACAGG
rnacentral:rRNA from 1 species